GGGCGCGUAGCUCAACGGUAGAGCAUUUCCCUCUUAAGGAAGUGGUUGGAGGUUCGAAUCCUCCCGCGCUCACCA
rnacentral:tRNA from 1 species